AGAGUUUGAUGGUGGCUCAGGACGAACGCUGGCGGCGUGCUUAACACAUGCAAGUCGAACGAAAAGAGGGAAAGAGCUUGCUCUUUCCGGAAUUGAGUGGCAAACGGGUGAGUAACACGUAAACAACCUGCCUUCAGGAUGGGGACAACAGACGGAAACGACUGCUAAUACCGAAUAAGUUCCAAGAGCCGCAUGGCCCAUGGAAGAAAAGGUGGCCUCUACCUGUAAGCUAUCGCCUGAAGAGGGGUUUGCGUCUGAUUAGCUGGUUGGAGGGGUAACGGCCCACCAAGGCGACGAUCAGUAGCCGGUCUGAGAGGAUGAACGGCCACACUGGAACUGAGACACGGUCCAGACUCCUACGGGAGGCAGCAGUGGGGAAUCUUCCGCAAUGGGCGAAAGCCUGACGGAGCAACGCCGCGUGAGUGAUGACGGCCUUCGGGUUGUAAAACUCUGUGAUCCGGGACGAAAAGGCAGAGUGCGAAGAACAAACUGCAUUGACGGUACCGGAAAAGCAAGCCACGGCUAACUACGUGCCAGCAGCCGCGGUAAUACGUAGGUGGCAAGCGUUGUCCGGAAUUAUUGGGCGUAAAGCGCGCGCAGGCGGCUUCCCAAGUCCCUCUUAAAAGUGCGGGGCUUAACCCCGUGAUGGGAAGGAAACUGGGAAGCUGGAGUAUCGGAGAGGAAAGUGGAAUUCCUAGUGUAGCGGUGAAAUGCGUAGAGAUUAGGAAGAACACCGGUGGCGAAGGCGACUUUCUGGACGAAAACUGACGCUGAGGCGCGAAAGCGUGGGGAGCAAACAGGAUUAGAUACCCUGGUAGUCCACGCCGUAAACGAUGGAUACUAGGUGUAGGAGGUAUCGACCCCUCCUGUGCCGGAGUAACGCAAUAAGUAU
rnacentral:rRNA from 1 species